AGGGGUAUAGCUCAGUUGGUAGAGCGGCGGUCUCCAAAACCGCAGGUCGUAGGUUCGAGCCCUGCUGCCCCUG
rfam:Agrobacterium radiobacter K84 chromosome 1, complete sequence.